GAUGAAGAACGCAGCGAAAUGCGAUAAGUAAUGCGAAUUGCAGAAUUUCCGUGAGUCAUCGAAUCUUUGAACGCACAUUGCGCCCACUGGUAUUCCGGUGGGCAUGCCUGUUCGAGCGUCAUUAUCCUCCCUCAAACCCCGGGUUUGGUGUUGGACCCAAGUUGUGUGAACAACUGGUCUCAAAGACAAUGACGGCGUCCAUGGGACCCUCGGUGCAACGAGCUUUUAGGAGCACGCAUCGAGUUGCAAGGACCUUCCGGGCCGGUCUCCUUUACCAUUUUACAAGGUUGACCUCGGAUCAGGUAGGAAUACCCGCUGAACUUAAGCAUAUCAAUAAGCGGAGGA
rnacentral:misc_RNA from 1 species